rfam:Schistosoma haematobium scaffold530_1, whole genome shotgun sequence.
UUUCCACUGACGAGUCCCAAAAUAGGACGAAGCGCGCGUCCUGAAU